CUUCCUCGUUUGAGGUCCGAUCGCCGCACCGUUCGCGGCCACACGUCCAGCGCGUCGAGCUCUACAUUUCUAUCGGAUCAAUUUCACUGGUUCGAUUUAGCUUGCGGAGCUUACUGGUUUGAGUUGCUACGCGUGUGGGAGUGGUGAGAAUUAAGUCCAUAUAUAUGCAUUGGAAGUAAAAAGUGAGUGUUUGGAAGCUUAUUGGUGAUUGAGGCUUGGUUUUUGGCUUGUUUCUUUGAGCUUGGGGGGCUCUGUUCUUGCUUGUGAGGCUGCUUUGGAUUGAAUAAAGUGAUCGGCCAAGGUAUGCUUUAGGUUUCGCGCGUUUAACAUUUAAGGUGUUGUGAAAACUUA